GUCGCCCAGCGCCCUGCAGCGUUGAGCUUGGGGCUGGAGCCCUCGAGCCCAGUCCCGAGCAGUCCCCGCGGCGGGGCCUCCGGAGGGGCCUGUUGCAGCGGAUCGCUUAUGCGGAGUCAGCGUGUCUUGUGCGCUCCUUCGCUCUUCAAAUGUUACCGAACGACCCCUGAAGCCCAGGCUUCGGAGCCCGGCUCGUGGAGAGUGAAAAUACAGCCCUGCGCUUCACGGCUAUGUGACCCCGGGCAGGGUAGAACACCUCUCUGAGCCCAGUGUCCCGGGCUGCAAAGAAAAGAUCCUUGCACUGGCGACUGCGCCUCGAGGAUGAAGACGGGCCUUGCUCUCGAGGGGGUCGCAGCCUAGCGGAGAGAUUGACGAGCAAGCAGAUCGCUGGGGGAAGAGGCAAGGAGCUACUUUAGACUAAGAGACUCCUGGGUGAAGUCCUGAUUCUUUUCACGUCUAAUUUGGAUGAAACUCAGAAGGCAUGUCCCCGCCUAGAUUGUAUCUGCUUAGAAUGCCUUUGGCAGUGAAGAACAAAACAUCUGACAAAUAGUAGCUGAAAGUGUGAUAUCACUUUCAUAUCUUCUAACAUAAAGUUCAAGUGUAGGUACUUUGUAGACACGUUGAGCAACAUGAUCACUGUCAUCAAGGA